GCAAUGAGUGUAGGGAGUCGGUGGCGAAGCUCUUCCCCGAGGCUGAUCCUAGUUGUCUUAACCCUUUUGGAGGAGGUGUGAAGGUGGCACAAAGGAGAAGCAGGAUGAAACCAGAGAGUAGGGAAUGAAUGUCACCGCUUCCUCCUUGGGAUGUUGUGAUUGAGCUUCCUCUCACAAGCCCCAAGGAGUAGGCCUUCAAGCCUAUUGU
rnacentral:lncRNA from 1 species